GACCUUUUUUCCCUUUCCCCACCCUUCCCUCCCACCCCUCUCCAAAAACCCCACGAUUUUCUUGCUGUUUCCCUCUGCAAAUGCCAGGCCUCAAAGCAGGAGGACCGAACACAAUCGGUCACAUCGCUCCUUUUCUUCCAUUUCUUUCGAACCACGACGCCACUGAUUCGGGAGACAAGGCCUGGGUGGCUGAUAAAGCGCACGAAUCGAGCAGCUAGCGCGGGCCCGCGGGCGUGGGAUCGCGGGCCGCGCGGGGGCCUCGGGGGCAGCCCUCCAUCCCCUCGGGUGCGCUGGGGCCCGCAGGACGCGACUCCCUCGGAAGGCGCGGACUCUCGCCCUCUGGCCGCGGCCCUGCGAAGGAGACAACUCAGGUCAGCGGCGAGCGGGCGCGGGAAGUGCGCGGCGGGGCCAGCCCCUGCCGGAGGGAAGGUUCCGCGCCGCAGCAGCCAGGCCCGCGAGGGGUGGGGCCGCAGAGUCCGCCUAGCGCUCCAGGGCUCCGGCCCGCCCGGCUCGCCGCCCCCACCCCAACCUCCCGGCCCGUCACGUGAGCGCAGGCCCGGACGCCCUCCCGCCGCGCCCCCGGCUGCAGCCCCCAGCGCCCCGGGGAUUGCUCGCCGCCGACCGCCCCUCACCGCCGCCGGCCUCCACCUGGAGUGCGGGCCGCCAACUGGGCCGCGCGGGCGGGCGGGCGGGCGCGCGCACCUGAGCCCGACGUCAGCGGCCCCCUCCCGGCGCGUGCCCCGGAAACGCCCUCCCGCUCCUCCCCGCCGUGGCGUCACGGAUGACGUCAUCGAAGCCUGCCUGCGAGCAACGGAUGCCUGGCGAGUCCCGGCGCCGAUGAGGGUUUGGGCUGUUGCAGGGGCCUCCGGUGUUGGGCUGCGGAGCUCGGCGGCGGCCGGCCGGGCCGGGGUCUGGCGGCUCGGCUCGGCGCCGUCCCAGGAGGGGCGGGGCGGCCUGAGGGAGUCCUGCCAGAACGCCCGCCUGCCCUUCUCCCGGGUGUGGGCGUUGUUCCGGGGCGGCCGUCAGACCAGCAGCUACUGUCCGCGGCUCUGCGCACCCCUCCCCUCUCUGGGCCGGGCUUCUCGGCCGAGCGGUCCUGCCCUCCUGCGUUGA
rnacentral:lncRNA from 13 species